rnacentral:rRNA from 1 species
AGUGAACGCUGGCGGUAGGCCUAACACAUGCAAGUCGAACGGCAGCACAGUAAGAGCUUGCUCUUACGGGUGGCGAGUGGCGGACGGUUGAGGAAUACAUCGGAAUCUACUUUUUCGUAGGGGAUAACGUAGGGAAACUUACGCUAAUACCGCAUAGGACCUACGGGUGAAAUCAUCGGAUCUUCGGACCUUGCGCGAUUGAAUGAGCCGAUGUCGGAUUAGCUAGUUGGCGGGGUAAAGGCCCACCAAGGCGACGAUCCGUAGCUGGUCUGAGAGGAUGAUCAGCCACACUGGAACUGAGACACGGUCCAGACUCCUACGGGAGGCAGCAGUGGGGAAUAUUGGACAAUGGGCGCAAGCCUGAUCCAGCCAUGCCGCGUGGGUGAAGAAGGCCUUCGGGUUGUAAAGCACUUUUGUUGGGAAAGAAGAGCAGUAAGUUAAUACCCUGCUGUUUUGACGGUACCAAAAGAAUAAGCACCGGCUAACUUCGUG